GAUGAACGCUGGCGGCGUGCCUAAUACAUGCAAGUCGAGCGAACGGACGAGAAGCUUGCUUCUCUGAUGUUAGCGGCGGACGGGUGAGUAACACGUGGAUGACCUACCUAUAAGACUGGGAUAACUUCGGGAAACCGGAGCUAAUACCGGAUAAUAUUUUGAACCGCAUGGUUCAAAAGUGAAAGACGGUCUUGCUGUCACUUAUAGAUGGAUCCGCGCUGCAUUAGCUAGUUGGUAAGGUAACGGCUUACCAAGGCAACGAUGCAUAGCCGACCUGAGAGGGUGAUCGGCCACACUGGAACUGAGACACGGUCCAGACUCCUACGGGAGGCAGCAGUAGGGAAUCUUCCGCAAAGGGCGAGAGCCUGACGGAGCAACGCCGCGUGAGUGAUGAAGGUCUUCGGAUCGUAAAACUCUGUUAUUAGGGAAGAACAUAUGUGUAAGUAACUGUGCACAUCUUGACGGUACCUAAUCAGAAAGCCACGGCUAACUACGUG
rnacentral:rRNA from 1 species